AAUGAACGUUGGCGGCGUGGAUUAGGCAUGCAAGUCGUGCGGCAGCAGGCCCCGCAAGGGGCGCUGGCGGGCGGCGAAAGGGAUAGUAAUGUGUGGAUACCUGCCCUGGGGACGGGGGUAGCUGCUGGAAACGGCAAUUAAUACCCGAUGAUGUCUCCGGACCAAAGGUGUGAUUCCGCCCUAGGAGGGGUCCACAUCCUAUUAGCUAGUUGGUGAGGUAACGGCUCACCAAGGCCACGAUGGGUAGCGGGUGUGAGAGCACGACCCGCAUCACUGGGACUGAGACACUGCCCAGACACCUACGGGUGGCUGCAGUCGAGGAUCUUCGGCAAUGAGCGAAAGCUUGACCGAGCGACGCCGCGUGCGGGAUGAAGGCCUUCGGGUUGUAAACCGCUUUCGGAGGGGAGGAAAUCUAGGGGGGAUCACCCUUCUAGUUGACCUAUCCUAGGAAGAAGGACGGGCUAAGUUCGUGCCAGCCGCCGCCGUAAGAC
rnacentral:rRNA from 1 species